ACAAACGGCCCUUUUCAGGGCCACCAAUUUAUUCUAGAAAAAAGGAAUUUGCUAAAUGCUAUAUUUCGCACAUUAUUUCGUUUCUGACUGAGAGAAAAACUCGAUUACAAAUUUUACAUGUUAUUGUACAGAUUUAUAAAUAUCUUAAUCAAUGUCUGAAUUCAGUAUCAGUUUAUGAUCCACCUUGUUAAUUCAGGCAACCUUGCCCACUCCCCCUUAGCUCUAGUUGAAAUUCAACAUGGUCGCCGUUUGGCUUGUUGUUUGUUGGUUGCGGGUGGUGUGACAGCGAUUCUGUCGAUAAUUCUCAUUCUCACUGAUUCGGAUUUUUUUUGUUUAUUUUUAAUGGAAAAUAGCACCAAUCACUAGCACGAAGUAUCUGGUAUUUCAUUUUACCACGACACCUUUCGACCAACUUGAAAAAGAACUUGAAUGGCUGUAAAGAAGAGUUUACACCAAUUGAGAAAUGGUUUUCUUCAUUCUGAAGAUAAUUCCUUCAGCUGAAUGUUUCAUGUGACCUCGUGACUUCUGGUCGCUUGUGACAAAAUAAUCCAAUUCAAGCUGUGUUUUCCAAAAUUUUAGGAAAUUCUAUUUGCGAGAAUGCCAAAAUGUUCCAUCGGGAUAUUCGGCCACAUCAUCAACAAUCACAAGCUAUUCAAAUGUCUAUGCAUCACCUAUAUAUAUUCCAGUUCUCGUUUCACUGCCUUCACAAAUCAAUCAACCGGAGCCAGUGGAACGUUUGGAUUCAAAAGAAAGAGUUUCUCAGUUGGAAGAUCUAUAGCGGAUGCUGGAACUGCAGAAGAAGAUUCAGGAAUUGGAGAUUAGUUUGCAGGAAGCCAAAGCCAAACAGGCUGUUCCUCCCAGUGGAAUUAAAAGCCAGCAGGUCGUCAUCGACAAAUCGAUAUCUGCAGCUAUUUUUCACCGGAGCAAGAAGCCGAACUUUGUGUGUUCCUGACCUCAUCUUCUGUCUCUUCUAAAAUUCUGAAUGAAAUUGAUCUUCUGCAAGUCCGAUUGAGCAAUGUGAUCGCCUCAACCGGAGCUGUCGUUGUCAACCGUCGUCGAAUUGGAAAGAUAACCGAAAAUCCGCUCUCCUUGGCCUUGCAGCACAGUCGUCGAGGCUCGAUCGUUCGUCAAGAUGAUUCAACGAGAGGUUGAAGCCCUUUAAGCUGUCCAGCACCGCAAUUAUUAUUGGACUGCUCGGUCUUUGCACGGAUAACGAAUUGAGUGAUGGUGAAGCAUCGAUUAGAGUCUCGCUCAUCUUUGAAUUCGCCAACGGAAGGGCUCUUUUCGACUGUCUUUUCGGUGUCCAAGUAAAUAACAGCAAAUUAAAAUUAGACGUGAAUUAAAUUAUGCUGAUAGCUACACAAACGAUUCGCUCGCCAUCUCACCGCGAGGCUCUCCAUCUACUGCAUUCCACUCAGCAGAAGCCGGGCGGUUCAGUUAUGGUCCACUGCGACGUGAAAUCCACCAAUGUUUUACUGCAACGGGAUGACGAACGAAGAGUCGUUCGAGCUGUUUUGGCCGAUUUUGGUUUGGCAAGUUUUCAUUCGGAUCUCAACGAAAGUACGGCUCUGGCCUAGCAGCCGCGGUAGGUAACCACGGCUAUGUCGAUCCUUUGUAUGCAGAGAGUUCAACCUACAGACGGGCCGGCCGGUUUGCAUGUCCUUCACGCUUGAAGGUCGCGGGGAACAUAACGUGUAAAACUGUCAAUGCGGUGGUGUAGAGGUUGGGUGAGAAUUGGACAUGUUGCAUCAUUAUCAAGCAG